rnacentral:rRNA from 1 species
AUGGGAUGCGAAUCUCGAAAGCCUGUCUCAGUUCGGAUUGGAGGCUGAAACCCGCCUCCAUGAAGUUGGAUUCGCUAGUAAUCGCGCAUCAGCCAUGGCGCGGUGAAUACGUUCCCGGGCCUUGUACACACCGCCCGUCAAGCCAUGGGAGCCGGGGGUGCCUGAAGUUCGUGACCGCAAGGAGCGACCUAGGGCAAAACCGGUGACUGGGGCUAAGUCGUAACAAGGUAGC